GUGGGGAAUAUUGGACAAUGGGCGAAAGCCUGAUCCAGCCAUGCCGCGUGUGUGAAGAAGGUCUUCGGAUUGUAAAGCACUUUAAGUUGGGAGGAAGGGCAGUAAGUUAAUACCUUGCUGUUUUGACGUUACCGACAGAAUAAGCACCGGCUAACUUCGUGCCAGCAGCCGCGGUAAUACGAAGGGUGCAAGCGUUAAUCGGAAUUACUGGGCGUAAGCGCGCGUAGGUGGUUUUGUAAGUUGGAGGUGAAAUCCCCGGACUCAACCUGGGAACUGCCACAAAAACUGCAUGACGAGAGUACGGGAGAGGGUAGUGGAAUUUCCUGUGUAGCGGUGAAAUGCGUAGAUAUAGGAAGGAACACCAGUGGCGAAGGCGACUACCUGGACUGAUACUGACACUGAGGUGCGAAAGCGUGGGGAGCAAACAGGAUUAGAUACCCUAGUAGUCC
rnacentral:rRNA from 1 species